CGGGGCAUGGCGCAGUCUGCUAGCGCACUUGUCUGGGGGACAAGGGGUCGCAAGUUCGAAUCUUGCUGUUCCGACCA
rnacentral:tRNA from 1 species